UUGAUGCAUUUAUUAUUUUUGGUUAACAUCACUUAUUAGGCAUGAUACAAAAUUUACAUCGAUUGAAACUGAUGCUAAUUUAUGUUACUGCAUUUUCAGUAGAAAUUUAAAACACUAGAGAUUACGAGAAGUGGUUACGAUUUUUAUGGCUUUAAUUUUUUCUUUAUAGCUGUGAUAUAAUUGUAUCCCUAACCGUUCACCACAAACACAUCAUCUUCUUUGCUUUCGUGAUUAACAUUUAUGGGUUCCUCUCUCUCUCUCUCAAAUCAAACAAUUUUUAUAAGUCAUGAUGAUGAAUUCUGUUUCUUCGUAUGCAGAAUUUCAAUGAUUAUUAAGGAUCAAAAACGUCUGGAAAUAUAAGAAGAGACGAUGGAGACUGAAAUCUAAAAGGAAAAGUAGAAGUGUCAGGAAAUCAAGGUUGAAGGAAACAGUUUUGUUGAAGAUUGAUGAUGAAAAGAGAGACAUAGAGAACGAGAAGAAAAUGAAGAAGAAUCUUGAAGAUUUUCUCAUGGCUAAUUCUAUUUAGCUUUUUUUAUAAUUCUUUUAUCUCUGGGUUCAUCUUAUUACUUGUUGUUCUUGCUUUGUUUUGAGUUUCUCUUCAAAUUUUGUGUUUUCUCUUUCAUCGUCAGAUGUAAUAUAAAUAAUAAAAUUAUUUAAAU